GGUUAAGCGACUAAGCGUACACGGUGGAUGCCCUGGCAGUCAGAGGCGAUGAAGGGCGUGCUAAUCUGCGAUAAGCGCCGGUAAGGUGAUAUGAACCGUUAUAACCGGCGAUACCCGAAUGGGGAAACCCAGUGUGACUCGUCACACUAUCAUUAACUGAAUCCAUAGGUUAAUGAGGCGAACCGGGGAACUGAAACAUCUAAGUACCCCGAGGAAAAGAAAUCAACCGAGAUUCCCCCAGUAGCGGCGAGCGAACGGGGAGGAGCCCAGAGCCUGAAUCAGCAUGUGUGUUAGUGGAAGCGUCUGGAAAGGCGCGCGAUACAGGGUGACAGCCCCGUACACAAAAGCGCAUGUGCUGUGAGCUCGAUGAGUAGGGCGGGACACGUGGUAUCCUGUCUGAAUAUGGGGGGACCAUCCUCCAAGGCUAAAUACUCCUGACUGACCGAUAGUGAACCAGUACCGUGAGGGAAAGGCGAAAAGAACCCCGGCGAGGGGAGUGAAAAAGAACCUGAAACCGUGUACGUACAAGCAGUGGGAGCACAGGUUUACCUGUGUGACUGCGUACCUUUUGUAUAAUGGGUCAGCGACUUAUAUUCUGUAGCAAGGUUAACCGAAUAGGGGAGCCGGAGGGAAACCGAGUCUUAAUUGGGCGUUAAGUUGCAGGGUAUAGACCCGAAACCCGGUGAUCUAGCCAUGGGCAGGUUGAAGGUUGGGUAACACUAACUGGAGGACCGAACCGACUAAUGUUGAAAAAUUAGCGGAUGACCUGUGGCUGGGGGUGAAAGGCCAAUCAAACCGGGAGAUAGCUGGUUCUCCCCGAAAGCUAUUUAGGUAGCGCCUCGUGAAUUCAUCUCCGGGGUAGAGCACUGUUUCGGCUAGGGGGCCAUCCCGGCUUACCAACCCGAUGCAAACUGCGAAUACCGGAGAAUGUUAUCACGGGAGACACACGGCGGGUGCUAACGUCCGUCGUGAAGAGGGAAACAACCCAGACCGCCAGCUAAGGUCCCAAAGUCAUGGUUAAGUGGGAAACGAUGUGGGAAGGCCCAGACAGCCAGGAUGUUGGCUUAGAAGCAGCCAUCAUUUAAAGAAAGCGUAAUAGCUCACUGGUCGAGUCGGCCUGCGCGGAAGAUGUAACGGGGCUAAACCAUGCACCGAAGCUGCGGCAGCGACGCUUAUGCGUUGUUGGGUAGGGGAGCGUUCUGUAAGCCUGCGAAGGUGGCCUGUGAGGGUUGCUGGAGGUAUCAGAAGUGCGAAUGCUGACAUAAGUAACGAUAAAGCGGGUGAAAAGCCCGCUCGCCGGAAGACCAAGGGUUCCUGUCCAACGUUAAUCGGGGCAGGGUGAGUCGACCCCUAAGGCGAGGCCGAAAGGCGUAGUCGAUGGGAAACGGGUUAAUAUUCCCGUACUUGGUGUUACUGCGAAGGGGGGACGGAGAAGGCUAUGUUGGCCGGGCGACGGUUGUCCCGGUUUAAGCGUGUAGGUGUGUGUUCCAGGUAAAUCCGGUUCACUUUAACACUGAGGCGUGAUGACGAGGCACUACGGUGCUGAAGUAACAAAUGCCCUGCUUCCAGGAAAAGCCUCUAAGCAUCAGGUAACAUCAAAUCGUACCCCAAACCGACACAGGUGGUCAGGUAGAGAAUACCAAGGCGCUUGAGAGAACUCGGGUGAAGGAACUAGGCAAAAUGGUGCCGUAACUUCGGGAGAAGGCACGCUGACACGUAGGUGAAGUGAUUUACUCACGGAGCUGAAGUCAGUCGAAGAUACCAGCUGGCUGCAACUGUUUAUUAAAAACACAGCACUGUGCAAACACGAAAGUGGACGUAUACGGUGUGACGCCUGCCCGGUGCCGGAAGGUUAAUUGAUGGGGUCAGCGCAAGCGAAGCUCCUGAUCGAAGCCCCGGUAAACGGCGGCCGUAACUAUAACGGUCCUAAGGUAGCGAAAUUCCUUGUCGGGUAAGUUCCGACCUGCACGAAUGGCGUAAUGAUGGCCAGGCUGUCUCCACCCGAGACUCAGUGAAAUUGAACUCGCUGUGAAGAUGCAGUGUACCCGCGGCAAGACGGAAAGACCCCGUGAACCUUUACUAUAGCUUGACACUGAACAUUGAGCCUUGAUGUGUAGGAUAGGUGGGAGGCUUUGAAGUGUGGACGCCAGUCUGCAUGGAGCCGACCUUGAAAUACCACCCUUUAAUGUUUGAUGUUCUAACGUGGACCCGUUACCCGGGUUGCGGACAGUGUCUGGUGGGUAGUUUGACUGGGGCGGUCUCCUCCUAAAGAGUAACGGAGGAGCACGAAGGUUGGCUAAUCCUGGUCGGACAUCAGGAGGUUAGUGCAAUGGCAUAAGCCAGCUUGACUGCGAGCGUGACGGCGCGAGCAGGUGCGAAAGCAGGUCAUAGUGAUCCGGUGGUUCUGAAUGGAAGGGCCAUCGCUCAACGGAUAAAAGGUACUCCGGGGAUAACAGGCUGAUACCGCCCAAGAGUUCAUAUCGACGGCGGUGUUUGGCACCUCGAUGUCGGCUCAUCACAUCCUGGGGCUGAAGUAGGUCCCAAGGGUAUGGCUGUUCGCCAUUUAAAGUGGUACGCGAGCUGGGUUUAGAACGUCGUGAGACAGUUCGGUCCCUAUCUGCCGUGGGCGCUGGAGAACUGAGGGGGGCUGCUCCUAGUACGAGAGGACCGGAGUGGACGCAUCACUGGUGUUCGGGUUGUCAUGCCAAUGGCACUGCCCGGUAGCUAAAUGCGGAAGAGAUAAGUGCUGAAAGCAUCUAAGCACGAAACUUGCCCCGAGAUGAGUUCUCCCUGAGACUUAAAGUCUCCUGAAGGAACGUUGAAGACGACGACGUUGAUAGGCCGGGUGUGUAAGCGCAGCGAUGCGUUGAGCUAACCGGUACUAAUGAACCGUGAGGCUUAACCCU
rnacentral:rRNA from 1 species